UCAGGGACCGCAUUCCGCGCUUCUUUACAGUGCAGCGCUAAACCCAAAAAGAGUCGGGCGCAUGCACGUAUCAUGUGGUGUAAGCACCAAACCUUUGAUUUCACGCCCAAAUGCAGAU
ensembl:ncRNA F14D12.12 ncRNA